rnacentral:rRNA from 1 species
AUUGAACGCUGGCGGCAGGCCUAACACAUGCAAGUCGAGCGGAUCGGCGGUCGGGUGCGUAAUGCCUAGGAAUCUGCAUGGUAGUGGGGGAUAACGUCCGGAAAUGGGCGCUAAUACCGCAUACUCUCAGAUGAGCCUAGGUGGGAUUAGCUAGUUGGGGGGGUAAAGGCCUACCAAGGCGACGAUGCGUAACUGGUCUGAGAGGAUGAUCAGUCACACGGGAACUGAGACACGGUCCAGACUCCUACGGGAGGCAGCAGUGGGGAAUAUUGGACAAUGGGCGAAAGCCUGAUCCAGCCAUGCCGCGUGUGUGAAGAAGGUCUUCGGAUUGUAAAGCACUUUAAGUUGGGAGGCGUUACCAACAGAAGAAGCACCGGCUAACUUCGUGCCAGCAGCCGCGGUAAUUC